rnacentral:rRNA from 1 species
UACGUAGGGUCCGAGCGUUGUCCGGAAUUAUUGGGCGUAAAGAGCUCGUAGGUGGUUUGUCGCGUCUGCCGUGAAAGCCCGGGGCUUAACUCCGGGUCUGCGGUGGAUACGGGCAGGCUGGAGUUCGGCAGGGGAGAACGGAAUUCCUGGUGUAGCGGUGAAAUGCGCAGAUAUCAGGAGGAACACCGGUGGCGAAGGCGGUUCUCUGGGCCUGUACUGACGCUGAGGAGCGAAAGCGUGGGGAGCGAACAGG